rnacentral:rRNA from 1 species
UGAACGCUGGCGGCGUGCCUAAUACAUGCAAGUCGAGCGAACGGACGAGAAGCUUGCUUCUCUGAUGUUAGCGGCGGACGGGUGAGUAACACGUGGAUAACCUACCUAUAAGACUGGGAUAACUUCGGGAAACCGGAGCUAAUACCGGAUGAUAUUUUGAACCGCAUGGUUCAAAAGUGAAAGACGGUCUUGCUGUCACUUAUAGAUGGAUCCGCGCUGCAUUAGCUAGUUGGUAAGGUAACGGCUUACCAAGGCAACGAUGCAUAGCCGACCUGAGAGAGUGAUCGGCCACACUGGAACUGAGACACGGUCCAGACUCCUACGGGAGGCAGCAGUAGGGAAUCUUCCGCAAUGGGCGAAAGCCUGACGGAGCAACGCCGCGUGAGUGAUGAAGGUCUUCGGAUCGUAAAACUCUGUUAUUAGGGAAGAACAUAUGUGUAAGUAACUGUGCACAUCUUGACGGUACCUAAUCAGAAAGCCACGGCUAACUACGUG